AUGUUUUUUAAGCUGUUUCUCGCUGGAAAUACUACGAAUUCCAGGCAGUUCGUGUAGAAACGUUGUUGAUAGAGGACGUACCGGUUCGAUAAAUAGUUGCUAUCACAACGUGCUGUUGACGUUUUACUAACUGAUACUCAGUUCCGUGAAGCAUAAUCGGUGAUAAUAGCUCAUCAUCAAACCUGUUUUGUUUUAAAUGUGGAAAUUACACACUUAAUUUUCAUAGCAGGUUGUAUCGUUAGUUAUUCUGGGUGAAACAAAUCUUGCUCGAUCUGUUGAUUUUACGGAUCGCCGUACAGCAGCUUUUCAGAUAAUCCUUACAGCAAUCCUUGGGUAGAAGUUGAUAGGACAGAUUUGGAGUUUUCAUCAAUGGUGCUUGUAAUAACACUAUAAAAGUGCCUCAUUUGGUAACAAGAUGCUAUUAUGGGCUUCAUAGUCUCUGUACUACUAGGUAAGUUUUAUUUUUUCGUUGUGGUAAUUAAACAAUUAGGUAUUACAUUAUGACAAUUAAAAUACAAAUGUGCAAUAGAAUUUUUAACAG